UUUUUCUUGUUUUAUUUCUGUUUUAAAUAACUAAACAAUACAUACAAAAUAUUACAAUCCAUGCCAUAAAAAUUAGCUCACCUGAAGACAGUCAGAACAUUGAUGGAAGUGAGUUGGCCAACUCUAAAAUUUUUACAAUAACUGACAACAUUAUCAGUGAGAUGACUACAUCGUGUUACACAAUGGGUGCUCGCAAAUGUAAGGAAUCUCACAUGCGGUCCAGGCCAUGGUAUAAGAUACAAACGUCAAAGGAAUUGUUCACAGCAACAAUUGCAGGAGAUUAAGUAAUUGAUCAAGAAACAGUAGCAGAGCCUCCGUUCUGUUGAUUCAGUAGUUGCCUGCUCAUGAAACACACCAUCUGUUUGAUCAUGAAGAUCUCCAGCUGUAUAGCUUGCUCAUGAAGACCUUCAAUUGUAUGCCAUUUCGAAAUUGUAUGACACUGUUUCCUAUACCGCAUCUUGUACCCACAUCAAUAUUUAUCACAUACUUCUUAACCUAAAUAGAUUACAAAUAUACAAUAUUUUGUAAGGCUCAUGAAUAUUAUCAAUGUAAUUGUUUAUUCAAUUUUUGUCUAGCGAUUCAUUUUAAAAUUUGCUCUAACUGUAAUGUAUUCCUGAAAGUAGUUGUAUGCACAUUUCUAUUUACUAUGUCUCCUGCUGUUGUAUUCUCCUAUAUUACUCAUUAACAUAAUACUGCAGUUAUUCUAAUGCUUAUUUAUAGGUGUCUACUUACUUACUAAUAGGUGUCUGCUUACCUGGUUACAUGCAGUGAUUGAACAUGUAAUGAGCAUGUAAUGAGCCACUUCCAUCUAGCCUGAACACUGAUACACCACAGCAUGAGAUGAGUAGAUAGUUUCCCCACACGUGUUUUGUAAUGUUAUUGUAUUUUUAUGUACUCCAAUUUCUUGCAAACUACAUAAUGUGCAGAUUAUAUUUACUGUGUCUCUUGCUAUUGUAUUCUCCUGUGUUACUUAUUGAGAGUUAUCUACCUAAAAUUUAACGUGCACCAACAUUAGUAUAGUCACGGUACUUGACUCUACAUAUGUUUUGGCUCUACGGAUUUUAAACAUGAAAAAAAAGAUAAA